GACGAACGCUGGCGGCGUGCUUAACACAUGCAAGUCGAACGGUGAAGCGCCUUCCUUUUUGGUGGGUGCGGAUGAGUGGCGAACGGGUGAGUAACACGUGAGUAACCUGCCCCCUUCUUCUGGAUAACCGCAUGAAAGUGUGGCUAAUACGGGAUAUUCUGGGUCUGUCGCAUGAUGGGUCUGGGAAAGAUAUUGUUUCGGUGGGGGAUGGGCUCGCGGCCUAUCAGCUUGUUGGUGGGGUGAUGGCCUACCAAGGCGGUGACGGGUAGCCGGCCUGAGGGGGUGGACGGUCACACUGGGACUGAGACACGGCCCAGACUCCUACGGGAGGCAGCAGUGGGGAAUAUUGCACAAUGGGCGCAAGCCUGAUGCAGCGACGCCGCGUGAGGGAUGGAGGCCUUCGGGUUGUGAACCUCUUUCGCCAGUGAAGCAGGCCUGCCUCGUUUGUGGGUGGGUUGACGGUAGCUGGAUAAGAAGCGCCGGCUAACUACGUG
rnacentral:rRNA from 1 species